UAUUUUGACUAUACAAAGGUAUUGUAAUAAGAUUUUAAUUGAAUGCUAAAAGAAUGGAAAUUUAAAAAAAAACUUUUUUAAAAAUAAAAAUUGAAUUUUUUUUAAUUUGUGCAAAAACAAUUAUAUUUAUUAAAGACAAGAAGACCCUAAGAAUUUAAGAUUUUACAAUUAAAAAGUUUUUUUUUUAAAAUCUUGAUUGGGGCGAUCAAAAAAUAUUAAUAACUUUUUAAAAUUUAAAUUGAUCUAUUAUUAAUAAACUAAUGAAUUAAAUACUCUAGGGAUAACAGCGUAAUAAUUUUUGAUAGAUCUUAUUGACAAAAUAGUUUGCGACCUCGAUGUUGGAUUAGGAUUCUUUUUUAAUGAAGAAGUUAAAAAAAGAAGUUUGUUCAACUUUUAAAUUCCU
rnacentral:rRNA from 1 species